ensembl:lincRNA AI662270 expressed sequence AI662270
AAAGUCGCCUGGGGACUCAGAGAUGAAAGAUGGACCUGAACAGGAGCAGAGACGCAGAGCUGGCCACACAUGGAAGUUUGGUCAAGAGUUUUCGUGGCUGCCUGUUAGUUUGUGUUACCAAAACAAAACAUCGAAACAUCAGUAUGGAAGUUUCUUCUAGGAGCCUGCCCCCAGUUGAUGACUCUGCAAACUACCUCUGCCGCCAUUUUCUGGGGACCCAGAGUGGUUCUGGGCAAAAUCCUUCAUCCUGGCUGAAUGAAAAAGAGAAAGAAAGAAAGAAAACAUGACUGGUCCUGGUUUUCGGCACCAUGUGUAUGAGAAAAAGAAAUAAAAAGAAAGGAAGAGGACUGGUCCCAGGAGGAAAACCAAAUAGCCUUAGAACUCAUGGAAUUUGUCCCACCGGUUAGCACAACCACAUCAAGAGGCAGAACCCCGACUGUCCUGAGGACUUCUUGCUGUUGUGGAGUUUUGCUCUGCUCACCGUCUUCAAGAUCACCACAUCCCUCUUGGUCCGUGAGUUGCAUGAAAACUCCAAAAGGGCUGCCAGCCCCUCACUGGACAGUAUCAUUGGUAUCAAGAAUAGUGAUUGCUCUUUUUCAAGUGUUGCAGCUGGAGCAGAUUACUGAUUCAACCACCACCCUCAGAAAGGACAUAGAGCUGUAGAUUGCUGGUAAUGUCCGGCACUCUUAGAAAGAAUGUGGAAAUGUCGAUUGUAGUAAAGUUAGGUUAAGAUGCUUUUGCUAGCGGCUUGGAAGUAGAAAACCGUGGGGAACAAUUGGAAAUUCAGAGAGGCACACUCUUGAUAGUUGAGCUAGACCCUUUUUGAUGUCAGGGACAAGAACAAUGGCAACCCAGCUAAUGCUGGCUGAGGUGGGUAUGCCUGUUUGGCUGAAGCAGCGCUGGUGAUCAAGGUGAUGACUAAGAUCUUAUACCCAUCUUACCCUCAAAUUCCCGACAGGAUUUAAUAAAAAAUUGUUAAUAAGUAGAUGUGCACCCUAAGGAUUUAUAGGAAAAAUGAUUUUUAUAUGAAGGUUUAAGUUUGUGAUACUCUUAAGAUUUUUUUAUAAGAUUACAUUUUAAGAUGAAUAAUAAAAUAAUUGCCGUGUGUCAAUAAUUUUGAGAGAAUUAUCUUGGUUGCUUACGCUUUGGCAAUAUCACAAGUUGGUUAGUUACAAAUGUAUAAGGGUACUUGAGAAUAAUUUGUUUUUAUUUUGCUUAUCCAGAAUACAUAAAACAUUUUAUCAUGUGAGGGUAUUGGGAAAGAUGUUUUUUCUUAUGUAUAGUCAUUGUAAUCAUCCACUUAAAGAAAAAUAGAAUAUAGCCACAUUGUGAUGGUUGUACUACUGGAAAGAUUUUGCUGGGACAUACAAUAUGUGUGAGAAAAAUAAAGUUGUUGGAUCUUGCUCAUUGGAGCCUUGCUCCUACCAAA